rnacentral:rRNA from 1 species
AUGUUCUUGUUUCGAGCUGGCAUCAUGUCGUCUCCCUCCUCCUCCAACAAUGAGGACAACGAUGCUUGGCUAAUGAAGAUAGAGCUGAAGAGACAAGAGCCUGGAAAGAUCCACAAGGAUGACGGGAUCAAGAAGGCCACGGAGGACCAAGUUCCAGCAGCAGAAGACAUCCUUCAACUUGAUCACGAUCUUCUUACCCCAAAUAAGAUUGAAGCUUUCAAGAUGAUUGAGUUAGCUCGUAUACAAAACAAAUAUCUCACACGUGAAAAUAUUUUGUUGAAGGAGCAUAUCAUCGCACUCAAGGGCAUUAUCCGCAAGUUGGAGGACCUCCUACGCUCGAUGUGCGACUAUCCAUCACCACCAACACCCUCGUCACCAACAAAGAAGUAA